AAUGAACGCUGGCGGCGUGGAUAAGACAUGCAAGUCGAACGGAGUUAGCAAUAAGCUUGCUUAAGGCAAACUCAGUGGCGAACGGGUGAGUAACACGUGAAUAAUCUGCCUUGAAGUGGGGGAUAGCCCUGGGAAACUAGGAUUAAUACCGCAUGUGGUCGAGAGACUAAAGCAGCAAUGCGCUUUAAGACGAGUUCGCGUCCUAUUAGCCAGUUGGUGAGGUAACUGCUCACCAAGGCCUUGAUAGGUAGCCGGUCUGAGAGGAUGUCCGGCAACACUGGAACUGGGACACGGUCCAGACACCUACGGGUGGCAGCAGUCGAGAAUCAUUCACAAUGGGGGCAACCCUGAUGGUGCGACGCCGCGUGGGGGAAGAAUGUCUUCGGAUUGUAAACCCCUGUCAUGUGGGAGUAAGCUAGUGAUAGUUGAUAGUACCACAAGAGGAAGAGACGGCAAACUCUGUGCCAGCCGCCGCGGUAA
rnacentral:rRNA from 1 species